UUAAUGAAAAAAGAAAUUUUUUAAAAUUUAAUUGAAUUAAUAAAAAUGAAAUUAGUAAAAAUAAAACUGCAAAGGAAUUUUCUAAAAAAAUUAAAAGUAAAUUUAAUGUACCUUUUGCAUAAGGGAUUUUUAAUAAAAAUUAAAUUUUUAAUUUUCUCGAAAUAAAUUGAUCUAAAAUAAAUACUAAAUUUAUAUUUCAUUAUAAAUUUUAAGUUUAUUUUAGUUGUGAAAUGCUUGUAAUAAUUUAAGAUAUCUAGUUUAAAAAAAAAAUUAAAUAUUAACCUAUGAAUAAUUUUUUAUUAUUAAUUUCAUAGGUAAGAAUUUUAGGGAUAAGCUAAAGAUUAAUUUUUUUUAAAAAUUCAAAAACUAAAUUAAAAUAUAAGAAAUAUAAUUGUUCUUUAUAUUGUUAUAAGUAAGUUUAUAUAAUAAUUUAAAAAAUAAUUUAUUUUAAAUAUAAAAUAAAAAAUUAUAUUUAUUUUGAAAUAUGAAAAUAUUAGUAAAAUUAUUUAGAAUUUAGGAAAAAUAUUUAAAAUAAAAAAUAUUAUAUAUUAAAAUAAGUUUAAAUAAUUCGGCAAAAACUUUUUCUCUGACUGUUUAAUAAAAACAACUUAUUCAGAAUUAUUAACUUUAUUGAAUAUAAAUCCUGCUCAAUGAAAUAUUUUAAAUUGCUGUAGUAUUUUGACUAUACAAAGGUAUUGUAAUAAGAUUUUAAUUGAAUGCUAAGAGAAUGGAAUUACAGGGAAUAACUAUUUAAAACUUAAAAAUUAAAAUUAUUUUAAUUUGUGAAGAAACAAUUAUUAAAAUUAAGGACAAGAAGACCCUAAGAAUUUUAAAAUAAUUAAUUUCUUAUAAGAAAUUAAUUAUUUUUAGUUGGGGCAACUAGAAAAUAUUAUAAACUUUUUAUAUAAUAAAAUGACCCAUUAUUAAUGAUUAUUUGAGAAAAAUACUCUAGGGAUAACAGCGUAAUAAUUUUUGAUAGAACCUAUAGACAAAAUAGUUUGCGACCUCGAUGUUGGAUUAGGAUACUUUUUUAAUGAAGAUGUUAAAAAAAGAAGUUUGUUCAACUUUUAAAGUCCUACAUGAUCUGAGUUUAGACCGAUGAGAAUCAGGUUGGUUUCUAUCUUAAUUAAAAUAAAUUUUUGGCUAGUACGAAAGGAAUUCCAAAAUUUAAUUAUAUUAAUGAAAACAACUUUAUUUGCAUCAUUUUUUGGAAUU
rnacentral:rRNA from 1 species